rnacentral:rRNA from 1 species
AUUGAACGCUGGCGGCAUGCCUUACACAUGCAAGUCGAACGGUAACAGGUCUUCGGAUGCUGACGAGUGGCGAACGGGUGAGUAAUACAUCGGAACGUGCCUAGUAGUGGGGGAUAACUACUCGAAAGAGUGGCUAAUACCGCAUGAGAUCUACGGAUGAAAGCAGGGGAUCGCAAGACCUUGUGCUACUAGAGCGGCCGAUGGCAGAUUAGGUAGUUGGUGGGAUAAAAGCUUACCAAGCCGACGAUCUGUAGCUGGUCUGAGAGGACGAUCAGCCACACUGGAGCGGGGAAACGGCCCAGACUCCUACGGGAGGAAGCAGUGGGGAAUUUUGGACAAUGGGCGCAAGCCUGAUCCAGCAAUGCCGCGUGCAGGAUGAAGGCCUUCGGGUUGUAAACUGCUUUUGUACGGAACGAAAAGCCCCGGGUUAAUACCCUGGGGUCAUGACGGUACCGUAAGAGUAAGCACCGGCUAACUACGUGCCAGCCGCCGCGGUAA